rnacentral:rRNA from 1 species
GACGAACGCUGGCGGCGUGCUUAACACAUGCAAGUCGAACGAUGAAGCCUAGCUUGCUAGGUGGAUUAGUGGCGAACGGGUGAGUAAUACGUGAGUGACCUACCUUUGACUCUGGGAUAAGCCUGGGAAACUGGGUCUAAUACCGGAUACGACCAAUCUCUGCAUGGGGUGUUGGUGGAAAGCGUUAUGGAGUGGUUUUAGAUGGGCUCACGGCCUAUCAGCUUGUUGGUGAGGUAAUGGCUUACCAAGGCGACGACGGGUAGCCGGCCUGAGAGGGUGACCGGCCACACUGGGACUGAGACACGGCCCAGACUCCUACGGGAGGCAGCAGUGGGGAAUAUUGCACAAUGGGCGCAAGCCUGAUGCAGCGACGCCGCGUGAGGGAUGACGGCCUUCGGGUUGUAAACCUCUGUUAGCAUCGAAGAAGCGAAAG